rnacentral:tRNA from 1 species
UGGGGCUGUAGCUCAGUGGUAGAGUGCUUGCCUAGCAUGCAUGAGGCACUGGGUUCGAUCAUCAGAACCACAG